rnacentral:tRNA from 1 species
GGAUCUGUAGCUCAGUUGGUUAGAGCGCACGACUGAUAAUCGUGAGGUCGAAAGUUCAAAUCUUUCCAGAUCCACCA